rnacentral:rRNA from 1 species
GAUAAACGCUGGCGGUGUGCCUAAUGCAUGCAAGUCGAACGGAGACAAAGCUUCGGUUUUAUCUCAGUGGCGAACGGGUGAGUAACGCGUUGGUGACCUGCCCCGAAGUGGGGGAUAACAGCUCGAAAGGGCUGCUAAUACCUCAUGUGGUCAUAAGGGUUAGAGGCCUUAUGUCUAAAGGAGUAAUCCGCUUCGGGAGGGGCCUGCGUCCCAUCAGCUAGUUGGUAGGGUAAUGGCCUACCAAGGCGACGACGGGUAGGGGACCUGAGAGGGUGGCCCCCCACACUGGCACUGAAACACGGGCCAGACACCUACGGGAGGCAG